UACGGGGGGAGCAAGCGUUGUUCGGAUUUACUGGGCGUAAAGGGCGCGUAGGCGGUCAGCACAAGUCAGUUGUGAAAUCUCCGGGCUUAACUCGGAAAGGUCAACUGAUACUGUGCGACUAGAGUGCAGAAGGGGCAACUGGAAUUCUCGGUGUAGCGGUGAAAUGCGUAGAUAUCGAGAAGAACACUUAGGGCGAAGGCAAGACUCUGGACAAAUGCUGACGCUCAUGCACGAAGGCUAGGGUAGCGAACGGG
rnacentral:rRNA from 1 species